UACGUAGGGGCUAGCGUUGUCCGGAAUCAUUGGGCGUAAAGCGCGCGUAGGCGGCCAGAUAAGUCCGGUGUGAAAGUCAAAGGCUCAACCUUUGAAUGCCGGUGGAAACUGUCGAGCUAGAGUCCGGAAGAGGCGAGUGGAAUUCCUGGUGUAGCGGUGAAAUGCGCAGAUAUCAGGAGGAACACCCUGGCGAAAGCGGCUCUCUGGGACGGUACUGACGCUGAAGACGCGAAAGCGUGGGGAGCAAACAGGG
rnacentral:rRNA from 1 species